UACGUAGGGUGCGAGCGUUGUCCGGAAUUAUUGGGCGUAAAGGGCUCGUAGGCGGUCUGUCGCGUCGGGCGUGAAAACUCGAGGCUCAACCUCGAGACGCCGAUGGAAACCAUGUGGCUAGAGUCCGGAAGAGGAGAGUGGAAUUCCUGGUGUAGCGGUGAAAUGCGCAGAUAUCAGGAAGAACACCCGUGGCGAAGGCGGCUCUCUAGUACGGUACUGACGCUGAGACGCGAAAGCGUGGGGAGCGAACAGG
rnacentral:rRNA from 1 species